UAGGGAAUCUUCCGCAAUGGGCGAAAGCCUGACGGAGCAACGCCGCGUGAGUGAUGAAGGUCUUCGGAUCGUAAAACUCUGUUAUUAGGGAAGAACAAAUGUGUAAGUAACUAUGCACGUCUUGACGGUACCUAAUCAGAAAGCCACGGCUAACUACGUGCCAGCAGCCGCGGUAAUACGUAGGUGGCAAGCGUUAUCCGGAAUUAUUGGGCGUAAAGCGCGCGUAGGCGGUUUUUUAAGUCUGAUGUGAAAGCCCACGGCUCAACCGUGGAGGGUCAUUGGAAACUGGAAAACUUGAGUGCAGAAGAGGAAAGUGGAAUUCCAUGUGUAGCGGUGAAAUGCGCAUAGAUAUGGAGGAACACCAGUGGCGAAGGCGACUUUCUGGUCUGUAACUGACGCUGAUGUGCGAAAGCGUGGGGAUCAAACAGG
rnacentral:rRNA from 1 species